GCCGGGUGUGGUGGCGCACACCUGUAAUCCCAACUACUAAGGAGGCUGAGGCAGGAGAAUCACUUGAACUUGGGAGGCGGAUGUUGCAGUAAGCCGAGAUCGCACCACUGCACUCCAGCCUGGGUGACAUAGUGAGACCCUGUCUCCC
rfam:Pan troglodytes isolate Yerkes chimp pedigree #C0471 (Clint) chromosome 17, whole genome shotgun sequence.